rnacentral:rRNA from 1 species
GACGAACGCUGGCGGCGUGCUUAACACAUGCAAGACGAACGGAAAGGCCCCUUUGGGGGUACUCGAGUGGCGAACGGGUGAGUAACACGUGAGUAACCUGCCCUUGACUUCGGGAUAACUUCAGGAAACUGGGGCUAAUACCGGAUAGGAAUCCUUGCUGCAUGGUGGGGGUUGGAAAGCUUCGGCGGUUUUGGAUGGACUCGCGGCUUAUCAGCUUGUUGGUGGGGUAGUGGCUUACCAAGGCUUUGACGGGUAGCCGGCCUGAGAGGGCGACCGGCCACAUUGGGACUGAGAUACGGCCCAGACUCCUACGGGAGGCAGCAGUGGGGAAUAUUGCACAAUGGGCGGAAGCCUGAUGCAGCAACGCCGCGUGCGGGAUGACGGCCUUCGGGUUGUAAACCGCUUUCAGCAGGGGCGAAGCUUGUGGUGACGGUACCUGCAGAAGAAGCACCGGCUAACUACGUG